rnacentral:sRNA from 1 species
GCCGGGUGUGGUGGUGCACGCCUGUAAUCCCAGAUCUCAGGAGGCUGAGGCAGGAGGAUUGUGAGUUCAAAGCCAGCUAAGGCAACUUAUCGAGGACCUAAACAACUCAGUGAGACCCUGUCUCUA